GUCUGGUGGAGUGGACAAGGCACCUGCCCGGUAAGUAGAAGGGUGUGGGUUCGAUUCCCGCCCCUGGACA
rnacentral:tRNA from 1 species